AACGAACGCUAGCGGCGCGUUUUAAGCAUGCAAGUCGAACGGGGAUAUUAGGAGCAAUUCUGGUAUCCUAGUGGCAAACGGGUGAGUAACACGUGGAUAAUCUGCCCUCAAGACCUGGAUAGCCCGCAGAAAUGCGGAUUAAUACGGGAUGUGGUGCCUGAUCAUGAGGAUCGGGACAUUAAAGGUGGGGACCGCAAGGCCUGCCGCUUGGGGAGGAGUCCGCGGCCCAUUAGCUAGUUGGUGGGGUAAAGGCCUACCAAGGCGACGAUGGGUAGCCGGCCUGAGAGGGUGACCGGCCACAUUGGGACUGAGACACGGCCCAGACUCCUACGGGAGGCAGCAGCUAAGAAUCUUCCGCAAUGGGCGAAAGCCUGACGGAGCGACGCCGCGUGGACGAUGAAGGUCUUCGGGAUUGUAAGUACAUUUCGGGGUAGGGAAGGAAAGUAAAGACCGGCGUCUAACAGAGACGGUAGAUGACGACCCGUCCCACGAAGAAGACUCCGGCGUAACUAACGUGCCACGCACG
rnacentral:rRNA from 1 species